rnacentral:tRNA from 1 species
AAGAAUGUAGCAUAAUUGGGUUAGUGCAUCAGCUUUGGGAGUUGAAGGUGUGAGUUCAAGUCUCGCCAUUCGGA